CCUACGGGAGGCAGCAGUAGGGAAUCUUCCGCAAUGGACGCAAGUCUGACGGAGCAACGCCGCGUGAGUGACGAAGGUUUUCGGAUCGUAAAACUCUGUUGUGAGGGAAGAACACGUACCAGGUAACUACUGGUACCUUGACGGUACCUCACCAGAAAGCCACGGCUAACUACGUGCCAGCAGCCGCGGUAAUACGUAGGUGGCAAGCGUUGUCCGGAAUUAUUGGGCGUAAAGCGCGCGCAGGCGGUCCUUUAAGUCUGAUGUGAAAGCCCACGGCUCAACCGUGGAGGGUCAUUGGAAACUGGAGGACUUGAGUGCAGAAGAGGAAAGUGGAAUUCCAUGUGUAGCGGUGAAAUGCGUAGAGAUGUGGAGGAACACCAGUGGCGAAGGCGACUUUCUGGUCUGUAACUGACGCUGAGGCGCGAAAGCGUGGGGAGCAAACAGGAUUAGAUACCCUGGUAGUCCACGCCGUAAACGAUGAGUGCUAAGUGUUAGGGGGUUUCCGCCCCUUAGUGCUGCAGCUAACGCAUUAAGCACUCCGCCUGGGGAGUACGGCCGCAAGGCUGAAACUCAAAUGAAUUGACGGGG
rnacentral:rRNA from 1 species